rnacentral:tRNA from 2 species
GCAGUCGUGGCCGAGUGGUUAAGGUGAUGGACUAGAAAUCUGUUGGGGUCUCCCUGCACAGGUUCGAAUCUUGUCGACUGCA